rnacentral:lncRNA from 1 species
CACCUCAGUGCCUCACCCCUUUAUCGGCCUCCUGUCCAAGAGCCUUAAGGCAGAAGUCCUUCAGGUUCCCAUAGGGAUCAGAAAUCAGUUCCUUGAAUUGCACAUCAUAGAAGAGGUUGGCCCGGAAGCAGGGAGUCUUGAAGAUGGCAACUGGUUUCUUCAGGUGCAGGGCAGCAAACACGUCCUCUUGGACCUGUGGGGUGGCUGUGGCGGUCAGAGCCACACAAGGGGCAUGUCCCAGGCGGGAGCGCAGGGCACCCAGACGCAAGUAGUCAGGACGAAAGUCAUGCCCCCAUUGGGAAACACAAUGAGCUUCAUCCACCACCAAGUAAGACAGCAGGUGGCGCGACACCAGGGAGUUCAGGGUGGGCUGGAAGGAGGAUGAAGCUGCCAUCUCUGGGGUGAUGUACAGAAUCUUGGUCUGGGGCUUUUCUCGCUCCAGGUCAGCAAGCAGUUCCUUCCUUUCCUGUGCAGAGAGCUUCGAGUUCAGGGAACUUACUCGGACCUUUAGGGUUAGCAAGUGGUCCAUCUGUAUGGAAGGUGAAGUGGUUUAGAGGACAGGCUCUGAAGUCAGACAGACUUCAGAUUUAGAUUUCAUCCUGGCUCACUUAAUCGCCACAUGCUCGCUGGCUGUUUCUCACCCUCUGAACGAUUUAUACAAUUCUAUCUAAUAGCAUUGUUGUAUAACUUAAAAUUUACAUGAGAGGUGAAACUAACGUACGUAAGCCAGGCGCGGUGGCUCACACCUGUAAUUCCAGCGCUUUGAGAGGCUGAGGCGGGCAGAUCACCUGAGGUCAGGAGUUCGAGAUCAGACUGACCAAUAUGGUGAAACCCUGUCUCUACUAAAAAUACAAAAUUAGCCAGGCAUGGUGGCGCAUGCCUGUAAUCCCAGCUACUCGGGGGGCUGAGGCGGAGGUUGCGGUGAGCCGAGAACGCGCCAUUGCACUCAAACCCGGGCAACAAGAGCGAAACUCCAUCUCAAAAAAAAAAAAAAAAAAAAAAAAAAGAAAGAAAUUAAUGUAUGUAAAGCACUUAGCACAAAGCCCGGGACCUGGUGAACAUUCACCAAGUUAUUACUGUAGUUCCCUGUCUCUCUACCUUCCUUCAUGGCGGAUGGCUCUUACCCACACA